rnacentral:lncRNA from 1 species
UACCGUUGAUACUUACAAACAAUCCAAGAGUAGGGCAGUUUGACCCCUUUCCCAGUAUCCAUGACUGAUAAAUUUUUAUCAGUGUUGGCGUAUUAACGAGGAUGUGGAAAGUACGUGGAAAGUACGGAAAGGUUAAGUUAGGUCACUCUCCUUGCAUGAACUGUUGCAUUUCUAACCCAUAUUUGACCUGUUCGACUCAACAGGUGUAUUGUGUAGAGGGCAGUUUCGACUCAAUUCGUUGUAACUUUUGUGCUAUGACUACCUUUGCUGUCGUGGAAUUUCUUCAGGAAGGGUCGGUGGAAGUUGUCCAUAAAUCUUGGAUAAGGAAAAACAAGGGGCCAGUAGCUAAACAUUGUGUCCUUCAUAAGUGAACCAUUGAGGUGUUUCUGGCCCAAAAAGAGUGUCUCAACAAGGGUUCGUAAAAGGGAGAUUCCAGAUGAAGAAAAGUGAGCAGCUACGAGAUACGGGUGUUCAUUUAUACUGAUUCAUAUGAAAAGGCACUCCAUAAUGCAAAAAUCGCAGAGGAUACGUCAACUGUCGAAUCGGUGGACAGCGAUGAUGAGCCCCGUCGACGAAAGCGACCUGCUGGAUAUCAGUCGUCUUCCCCGUCAGAGGUGGGGAGUGACAGCAAAGAUGAUAUGGCACCAUUGAAGAAGCAACCAACCCCAAAGCCCCUAGCAAAUCCCCCAGAUGUAGACAUCGAUUUGCUCAACCAAG